GGUUUUUGGGUUUUGGGGGUUUUGUGGAGUUUUUGAAGAUAAAAAAAAUGGAGGGUGGUGAUGUAUCUGUUGAAGGGAAAGUGACGCGUGCAUCGUGGAUCAAACGGCCGGAAAACGCGCAUCUGGUGGUGAUCGGAAAGUCGACCGGAACCUGUUCUUCGUUAGAGAUUUUAUCCUUUAAUUCCGAGAGUACUUCUCUUUCUUCUUCUCCCAAGGCGACGUAUGUGUUGGAGGAAGGUGGAGAGCCAGUGAGGAUUGCGGUACAUCCAACUGGGGAUGAUUUUGUGUGCUCCACCACUACUGGUUGCAAGUUGUUUGAGUUAUAUGGUCAUGAAGAUAAUAUAAAAUUUGUGUGCAAGGAGUUUCCUCUCCAAGAUGUUGGUCCACAAAAAUGCAUGGCCUUUAGUGUUGAUGGCUCCAAAUUAGCCAUAGGCGGAGUUGAUGGACAUUUUAGACUUUUUGAGUGGCCAACCAUGCGCAUUAUUGUGGAUGAACCUAAAGCUCACAAGUCUUUCAGAGACAUGGAUUUCAGCU
rnacentral:misc_RNA from 1 species